rnacentral:rRNA from 1 species
UCGGCAUGAGCGGCAGACGGGUGAGUAAUGCCUAGGUAUCUGCCUGGUAGUGGGGGAUAACGUCCGGAAACGGGCGCUAAUACCGCAUACUAUCAGAUGAGCCUAGGUCGGAUUAGAUAGUUGGUGGGGUAAAGUCCUACCAAGGCGACGAUCCGUAACUGGUCUGAGAGGAUGAUCAGUCACACUGGAACGGAGACACGGUCCAGAGUCCUACGGGAGUCAGAAGUUGGUAAUAGUGGACAAGGGGCGAAAGCCUGAUCCAGCCAUGACGCGUGUGUGAAGAAGGUCUUCGGAUUGUAAAGCACUUUAAGUAGGGAGGCGUUACCGACAGAGUAAGCACCGGCUAACUUCGUGCCAGACGCCGCGGUAAUAC